UGGGGAAUAUUGGACAAUGGGCGCAAGCCUGAUCCAGCCAUGCCGCGUGUGUGAAGAAGGCCUUAUGGUUGUAAAGCACUUUAAGCGAGGAGGAGGCUACUUUAGUUAAUACCUAUAGAUAGUGGACGUUACUCGCAGAAUAAGCACCGGCUAACUCCGUGCCAGCAGCCGCGGUAAUACAGAGGGUGCAAGCGUUAAUCGGAUUUACUGGGCGUAAAGCGCGCGUAGGCGGCUAAUUAAGUCAAAUGUGAAAUCCCCGAGCUUAACUUGGGAAUUGCAUUCGAUACUGGUUAGCUAGAGUGUGGGAGAGGAUGGUAGAAUUCCAGGUGUAGCGGUGAAAUGCGUAGAGAUAUGGAGGAAUACCGAUGGCGAAGGCAGCCAUCUGGCCUAACACUGACGCUGAGGUGCGAAAGCAUGGGGAGCAAACAGG
rnacentral:rRNA from 1 species